CCAGAAAUUGCUUCUCAACCUCUGGCUGGAUAUGUCUUCACAUUCCCCUACUCGGGAAACUGGAGGCGUGGGAGAUACUGAGGCCAACAGUCGUGUCGCUGGGCACGUCUGAACACCGAUACCGGCCCAGAUUCACGGGGGGAACUCGGAGAGCCCAACGCCAGAUCCACGGCGUCCCCGCCGGCUCCUCGCCUCCUCAACAGCCGCCUGCCUCCAGGUGUCGCCCGCAGCCUCUCAGGCCGAAGUCAUCCAGCUUCCAAUUGUUAGCUCAGAACUACUCGGGGCGCUCACAGUGAGUCCCCGCGACACCAGGCGGACGCGCGUGGGGACACUACAUUACCCCUUUGCCCCCACCUCGCUGCCCGCCCGCGACGCCGCUAAGAUGGGGACUCAACGCGGCAGGACCUGGCCUGGGCUCGCGAUGCACCCCGUGCCCCACGGCAGAGCGGGGCACCUAGGAGCCACUCACUCCGCACUAGGGUCCGACUGAGCUGGCCGCCCGGGACCGCCACGCGGCCUCAGUCCGCGGCUGGGGCGGAGGGGGUUGAACUGGAAAAGCCGAAGAAGAGACGGAGCGGGCGCGGGGCAGCCCGGUGACCGGCCCGGGAGAGAGCGCGAACACUCUGGCCGCUAAAGAAAAAGGCCAACAGAAAACUGAAAAUGCCGAUGUUCCUCCAUUUCGAUCACCUGCCCCUGGCCUUCUCUCUGCCGGCCACCGCUCGGACCGCAACUGCGUGCGGUUGGUGCUCUCGACUCCGAAAGAUACAUAGUCCGCUUGUAAGUGCUUGGUUUAAAGACGGCAGCGCCGUGAGAUGUCACCCUUUGGCCCUAGCGACCCCCGAGUGCAGGCCUCGGUGCAGGUGGGAGGCCCACAAUCCCUGCUCACAGCAGGAAAGAAGGAAACGCUACAAACCGUCCCCCCGGGGGACCCGGUCCUGCCCCGGCCGCGCACCCCUCCUCCUCGCCCCCGUGCCCUGCCGAGGAAUGUAGACGAAAGUGACCAACCGUUUGUAUUCCUCGUAGGUGCACUGCCUGAGGCAACCGUAGGAGAGGCUGAUAAAGAAUUCUGAAGAACAGGGCGUCCGUGUGGGCUUAAUAUUAAGACUGGAGUAAACUGAGUGAUGCUCACUGUGUUCUAAGAGUAGGACGAAGACAGCUGUAGCUUUAAUUUCACGUCAGUAGAGCUGAAAUUCGCUAUAGCUUGGUAGCCAUUCUCAGGCUAUCCGCAAGCGUGUACUCAGAUAUUUUUUUCUUUAUAAAGUAGCUAAUAAUAUUCUCUUUAUCAAUAUGAGUGUUCCUUUCUGUCGUAUUUCCCCAACCACGGACAAAGAAGAAGCGAACAAGCAGGGCGGGGGCACAGAAAGUGCACUUGGCGUCACGGAAACUUACACUUGUGCCUAAAGAACUUGGAGAAAAGUGCCCACGACGGUUGUGGAAAGUUGGAAAAUUCCAGUAACAGGAAUAAGGAGUAUCGUCUUGAGUCGGGGCAUGGGGGGUUGGUUGCCGUAUAUUCAGCUGCCCAGCUCAGGUGCUACCUCAUUCUCUCUGCUGCUACCAAACGAUGGGAAAAGGCACAAAGGCAACAGGAUUUGAAAGUAACUGACUUCCUUUGUAAUUUUAAAUGUUUUAUUCUACGCAUUAAAAGACUUAUUCCAAGAAUGGUGCAUAGGUUUCCACAGAUCACCAAAGGAGUCCUCAGUAGAAAAGUGGUUUAAAAUCUGCAUGCUUGGGAGAAAAGACUCCGUGACCCCAGAAACGUGGGAGGGGGGGGGGAGGGAGGGAAUGGGAAGGGAGAUUCA